rnacentral:piRNA from 1 species
UCCAAGUCCUGUGUCUGAAGUGCAUU